AUGCCGCAUCCCCACCCGCUGUGGUGGCCGGGCCUGGGAGAGGCAGCCGGGACAGUUGGUACUCCUGGGGUGACUGUGCUCCCCAUGGUCGCGGGGUGCAAGGCCCCAGAAGCAGGCAGAAACGUGACCCUGGCCUGCCUGGUGACAGGGACCCAAUCAGUCAACUGGCACAGAGGGACAGAGAAGCUGCCCACAAAGGACGUUGUGAUUGUGAAUCGCCCGGAAGGGGUCACCUACCUCUACUACCAAAUCGUCACCUGGAACCCUGUCCCCCUCGUCUGCAGCGCCAAUGACAUGUCCAAGACCCUCCAGUGGCCAGCCACUCCGGCCACCUUUGCCCACAAGGACACACAUUCUCCAGAGGCUGCCCGAGGCCAGGGCGUACCCAGGCUCCUCCCCGCAGCUGCCACGGCGCCCAGCAGCCUCGCCGUCCGGGUCCUGGCCACGCCGGGUGCUCACGCCUCUGCCGGGGCGGCCUCCUGGCUCCUGUGCGAGGUGGCGGGCUUCUCUCCCACGGAGCUGGUCCUCACCUGGCAGGAGGGCCCGCGCCAGGUGGACACGGCUUGGUUUGCCACUGCGGAGGCCACGGCCAACCUUGGAGACAGCACGUUCCGCACCUGGAGUGUCCUGCGGGUCCCAGCCACCCCCCGCCGGCCGCCGGCCACCUACACGUGCACCGUCAGGCACCCGGCCUCAGGGAGGCUGCUCAACGCCAGCUGGAGCCUGGACGCUGCAGGUCCGGCGCCGCCCCCCUGGGCGCCCCUGAGCGUGGACGAGGACUGUGACGGCUCCGCCGACCUGGACGCCGCCCUGGACGCUGCCGGCCGCCUGUGGCCCACCUUCGUGGCCCUCUUCCUGCUCACCCUGCUCUACAGCGGCUUCGUCACCUGCGUCAAGGUGAAGGGCCGGGACCCGGCCCCGCUGGGCUGUGCCAAGAAGGUGCCCCUCCGGGGGGCUCGCUGGAGCCGGCCCGGGACCGUGCGGAGCUGGGAGGCCCCGGCGGGAGGGCAGUGA